rnacentral:rRNA from 1 species
UACGUAGGGGGCAAGCGUUGUCCGGAUUUAUUGGGCGUAAAGAGCGUGUAGGCGGCCAGGUAGGUCUGCUGUGAAAACUCGGGGCUCAACCUCGAGAGGUCGGUGGAAACCGUAUGGCUAGAGUCCGGAAGAGGAGAGUGGAAUUCCCGGUGUAGCGGUGAAAUGCGCAGAUAUCGGGAAGAACACCCGUGGCGAAGGCGGCUCUCUGGGACGGUACUGACGCUGAGACGCGAAAGCGUGGGGAGCGAACAGG